rnacentral:sRNA from 1 species
UGCCUAAACCUAUAAAUCUUAUGGGCAUGGCAAAAAAGACUGUGUGAACAAUACUGAACCCGUCGUUCAGGCCUCUGUUCACACAGCUGUAUAUCGAAAGAUAUACGGGAGCGCAAGCUUC